rnacentral:lncRNA from 1 species
GGCCACCAAAUGCUACCAGCUACAGUGCUGCCUGUGGCAUUUAGGGAAGAUCAUGCAGAGCAGCAAGAAGUAUAGAAGAUCCUGGAUUUCAGUUCAUCAGUGUCUACAGGCAGAAAAAGAAACACUGGGAUCUUGAGCCUAGAGGAAAAUUUUAGUGAAAGGGAAAUUGGUUGCAGACCAGAUCCCUUGGAAGGGGUGGGGGUGAUACUGGUUACUCCCUGCACAAACUGUGCAGGAGAGAGUUGAGGAGGAGCCACCUGGAAGGGUAGCAAAGCUCACCGGCAAGGAGCACUCAUCCUCUACUGCGUGCCCCUGGAGUACACUCAGCCCCAUGGUGCCUUGCACAUUCCCAGCCCACCUGCUUGCAGCAGAAGCACUGGUGUGUGCAGCAGGAUUUCCUCUGGCAGAGCUGUGACAAGGAAACAAAGGGUCUGUCUGGGGCCAAAUACAUAAAUGAAAAUUAUCCUCUUUCAAGAAGAUGAGAAAUAUUUUCAUGUCAUGAAGUUUUCCAGAAGAGAAAGACCUACCAGAGAUAUUUUUCUUGGAUAGAUGCUAUUGAGCCUGUGUCCAAACCACUAAAUGGAUUACAAAUAAUGCAGACUUUUUGGUGCCAUAACUUCACAUUUUCUAUCAAAUUCAUCUGUGAAGCAGAAGCAGGACAAAACAGGGUCAUCUAAAAUAAAAACAGCAUGGCAGGAACAUGCUCUUCAAAUGGGCUGGCUAAUGAACCACGGCUACUGAAAUAGCAUCCAAAGUGAAAGACAUUUAAAAUAUUGGUAUGAAAGGAUUCCUUCUGAACUAGUCACUGAGUAAAGGAAAAACAACAGUAUGUAGGGGAAGAAAAGAGUGUUGGAGACACUUGAUCCAGUGGCAGACAAACUUAUCAAACCACGUGUUUCCUUUUAGAUUGGUUUCUGUGGAUCUUCUUUGAAGAAAUCCCAAGAAACAUCAAGACCUUCAAGAAAGUGCCAAAAAAAAAAAAAAACCCACCCAAAAAACCCAAAACCAUCAAAAAACAAGCCUUAGAUUAUGUUGCAAUGAAAAAAAAGUUCAAGAAGGCAGAAGAAAAGCCAAAUUGUCCAUUCUAAGGGAUGGAUGAGAGUGCCACU